rnacentral:rRNA from 1 species
AUUGAACGCUGGCGGCAUGCCUUACACAUGCAAGUCGAACGGUAACAGGUCUUCGGAUGCUGACGAGUGGCGAACGGGUGAGUAAUACAUCGGAACGUGCCCGAUCGUGGGGGAUAACGAAGCGAAAGCUUUGCUAAUACCGCAUAAGAUCUACGGAUGAAAGCAGGGGACCGCAAGGCCUUGCGCGAACGGAGCGGCCGAUGGCAGAUUAGGUAGUUGGUGGGAUAAAAGCUUACCAAGCCGACGAUCUGUAGCUGGUCUGAGAGGACGACCAGCCACACUGGGACUGAGACACGGCCCAGACUCCUACGGGAGGCAGCAGUGGGGAAUUUUGGACAAUGGGCGAAAGCCUGAUCCAGCCAUGCCGCGUGCAGGAUGAAGGCCUUCGGGUUGUAAACUGCUUUUGUACGGAACGAAAAGACUCUGGUUAAUACCUGGGGUCCAUGACGGUACCGGAAGAAUAAGCACCGGCUAACUACGUG